GUAGGGUGAACCUGCGGAGGGAUCAUUACUGAGUUUACGCUCUAUAACCCUUUGUGAACAUACCUAUAACUGUUGCUUCGGCGGGUAGGGUCUCCGUGACCCUCCCGGCCUCCCGCCCCCGGGCGGGUCGGCGCCCGCCGGAGGAUAACCAAACUCUGAUUUAACGACGUUUCUUCUGAGUGGUACAAGCAAAUAAUCAAAACUUUUAACAACGGAUCUCUUGGUUCUGGCAUCGAUGAAGAACGCAGCGAAAUGCGAUAAGUAAUGUGAAUUGCAGAAUUCAGUGAAUCAUCGAAUCUUUGAACGCACAUUGCGCCCGCCAGCAUUCUGGCGGGCAUGCCUGUUCGAGCGUCAUUUCAACCCUCAAGCUCUGCUUGGUGUUGGGGCCCUACAGCUGAUGUAGGCCCUCAAAGGUAGUGGCGGACCCUCCCGGAGCCUCCUUUGCGUAGUAACUUUACGUCUCGCACUGGGAUCCGGAGGGACUCUUGCCGUAAAACCCCCCAAUUUUCCAAAGGUUGACCUCGGAUCAGGUAGGAAUACCCGCUGAACUUAAGCAUAUCAAUA
rnacentral:rRNA from 1 species